AGCUAAGGAUAUUCCGCAACGGGGGGAACCCCGGCGGAGCGACGCCGCGUGGACGACGAAGGCCGGAAGGUUGCAGAGUCCUUUUAACGCGGAGGAAGAAGGGCCGCAGGCAAUGGCGGUCUGGUGACGGUACGCGUUGAAUAAGGGGCGGCUAAUUACGUGCC
rnacentral:rRNA from 1 species